AGUGAAACAAAAAACAAAUAAAGAAAAACAAAACUGGUGAGUCACUGGAUUGGGAAAAAAAUGAAAUUCAUGAAGGCCAUAUCCAUACCCAUUACAUUCUCAAGAGAAGUUAAGACCAGAAAGCUACUACAUUUGUAUUCUGGAAUGAGAAGAAGGUACUUCAGCGAACAUGGAAUGUACUCUGGAAUAUUGAAUCAACCACGUACGAAAUCUCCACUGCUCAUGCACCAGCGACUCAGAAGUGACAUUGCGCCCUCCCGUCCUAACAUCUCAAGUGGAUACCAGUACUCUCCCCUAAGAUUUGAUGACCUGAUAGCAGCACCUCCACUGGCCAUGCAUCUGAACUUCAAAAGCCAUUUAACUCCUUUGCCCUUUACCUCGCCAAGUGGUGCUGAACCCUGGAUGACACGG